rnacentral:rRNA from 1 species
AUGAUCAAAGCUAGCGGUAGGAAGCGUAAGAGCAAAAUUUUCAGAUUUGUUCAAGAGGAAGGUAUUAUUCAAGGAGAUGAUAAGCUGCUUGAUUAUGCCACUAAUUUUUACAAAAAGUUGUUUGGUCCUGUAGACCUUUUACCAGUUUCUUUGAGCAUUCCUGUUCCUGUUGUCUUGGAUAGUGAUGACAAGAGCAAGUUGAUAUCUAGGUUCUCCAUGGAUGAGAUUAAGCUUGCUGUUUUUUCUAUGAAACAUAAUAGGGCUGCCGGUCCUGAUGGCAUGCCCAUAGAGUUCUUUCAAAAAAUUUGGAAUUUGAUUUGUCAAGACUUAUUCCAAUUGUUCUGUGAUUUUUUCGAGGGCAAGCUCGAUAUUUCUAGACUAAACUAUGGUAUAGUGACUCUGAUUGCCAAAGGGCAGGGAGCUGAAAAGAUCCAGAUGUAUAGGCCUAUAUGCAUGCUUAAUGUUCCCUUCAAGAUCUUUACUAAAGUUCUAAACACUAGGGCUAUGCUUGUUGCACAUAAGGUAGUUUCUCGUAUUCAAGCAGCUUUUAUAAAAGGUCGUUACAUUCUGGAUAACGUAGUUAUGUUACAUGAAACCAUGCACUUCUUACAUAAGAAUAAAGUUUCUGGUGUGUUGUUUAAAGUGGAUUUCGAAAAAGCGUAUGAUAAAAUUAAUUGGCCCUUUAUGCUUUCUGUGUUGGAGAUG